GUGUUGUAUAAAAGAGAGAAGGUUAACACUCUCCUUGAUAAGGAUGGAGGUUCCAGUGGCCUUUACAACAUAUUUACGGUUAAGACACUGCCACCUACUUAGUGGCAUCUCUAACCAAGUUUUUAA